rnacentral:rRNA from 1 species
AACGCGAAGAACCUUACCUACCCUUGACAUCCUAGGAAUCCUGCAGAGAUGCGGGAGUGCCGAAAGGAACCUAGAGACAGGUGCUGCAUGGCUGUCGUCAGCUCGUGUUGUGAGAUGUUGGGUUAAGUCCCGUAACGAGCGCAACCCUUAUCCUUAGUUGCCAUCACGUCAUGGUGGGGACUCUAAGGAGACUGCUGGUGAAGAACCGGAGGAAGGCGGGGACGACGUCAAGUCAUCAUGGCCUUUAUGGGUAGGGCUACACACGUGCUACAAUGGACAGUACAGAGGGAAGCCAACCCGCGAGGGGGAGCCGAUCCCAGAAAGCUGUUCGUAGUCCGGAUCGGAGUCUGCAACUCGACUCCGUGAAGUCGGAAUCGCUAGUAAUCGCGAAUCAGAAUGUCGCGGUGAAUACGUUCCCGGGCCUUGUACACACCGACUGUAC